GAAUAUUUGCUCUUUUAGUAUUUGUCCAGUAGGUUUCCUUUAAGGAGAAAGACCACA
rnacentral:snRNA from 1 species